GGGGUUUUAGCUCAGUGGUAGAGCGUCCGCUUUGCAUGCGGAAGGCCGUGGGUUCAAUCCCCACAAUCUCCA
rnacentral:tRNA from 1 species